rnacentral:rRNA from 1 species
CCUUGUACACACCGCCCGUCACACCAUGGGAGUGGGUUUCACCAGAAGUAGGUAGCCUAACCGCAAGGAGGGCGCUUACCACGGUGGGAUUCAUGACUGGGGUG